UCACUCAUAUUUCCACGUUUCUAUUUUUGUGCUGGUCUGAAGCUAGUAAUUGGAUGCAUACUCUUGGUUUGGUUUGAUAGUGUAGCCUUCUAGUGUGCUUGGCAAACUAGGGGAUCAAGCAUGAAGGUUAUAAGUUGUGCAUUAUGGUAGUUCUGGAUUAUAUUUUUUCUCCAGUCGCUGGGUACUGGCAGGUGCAGUUUAGAACUAGUUUUUGUAUUGUCAGCUUGCAAUGAUUAAACUUGUAUGUGCCCUGGUCUUAUUGUCUCCUGGUUGUGAUGCCAACUGAUUAUACUUGUGGUAUGGUUAUCUGUCAACAAAGAUACCAGGUUUCCCUUCUAAUACUUGAAUCAUAGCUUAAUAGUGCUCAAUUUGAAUGCUUUGUGGUCUCUGAUAUGUUACCUGCCUUUAUUAAAUUCAUGCUCUUUUGAUUGUGCGGUGCAAUACUGUUGUGGUAGUCUUGUGUAAUUGAUCAUCUAGUGCCUAUACUAGCUUGAAGAUAUUGCGGUCUGUUGGUGCCGUGUGGAUUUAAGUAAAAACGCUCUUCUGAAUUUAGUUUUGGUAAAUAUUUUCUCUGGAGCUAACCAUCUUUUUUUUUGUUCGAGGACAAUGAGGAGGGCUAAAGGACAGAGGUGGCCUUGUUUUUUGACUCCAUGUUGUGUUUAGGAUAACGAGGACUAAACAAGGACAUUGUUGGUUCGUCAUUUCGGUGAUUUCUUGUGAGCCUCGUGUACAUAGUUGAUCAUCCGAGUCUCCUCGAUUAUUGUUUCUGCCUCGCUUACAGGCAUGCCAUAAACAACCUCGCGCGUGCAGAGCAAGCCCACCCAAUCAGCAACGAUUUUAUAGCGGCGCAGGAAUUAACAGCGAGGAAUACCAAAGGAAGAAGAGAGCAAUUAUUAAGGAGCAGAGGGAGUUUUUUUUAGAGAGAAACGAGGGAGUAUUUAAGAAGAAGAAAUCCUAAACGUGGCUUGGUAUUUGUGUGUUGAUGCAGGUGCAGCCAACGAAGAGGUUUCUUAAACGGCGAGCUCCCUGGCUGGCAUGUGUGUAUUUAUGGAUGUAGCAUGAGUGUUAUGAA